AAUUACCCACUCCCAGAACGGGGAGGUAGUGACGAAAAAUAACGAUACGGGACUCUUUUGAGACCCCGUAAUUGGAAUGAGUACACUUUAAAACAUUUAACGAUGAUCCAUCGGAGGGCAAGUCUAGUGCCAGCCGCCGCGGUAACUCUAGCUCCGAUAGCGUAUAUUAAAGUUGUUGCGGUUAAAAAGCUCGUAGUUGGAUCUCAGUUCCAGACGGGUGGUCCUCCAACCGGGGGUUACUGCCUGCUCUGAACAGCCAGCCGGUUUCUCUUGAUGAUCUUCACCGGUUGUCUUGGGUGACCGGCAAGUUUACUUUGAAAAAAUUAGAGUGCUCAAAGCAGGCGCGACGCCUGAAUAAUGGUGCAUGGAAUAAUGGAAUAGGACCUCAGUUCUAUUUUGUUGGUUUUCGGAACACGAGGUAAUGAUUAAGAGGGACAGACGGGGGCAUUCGUACUGCGACGCUAGAGGUGAAAUUCUUGGACCGUCGCAAGACGAACAACUGCGAAAGCAUUUGCCAAGAAUGUUUCCAUUAAUCAAGAACGAAAGUUAGAGGCUCGAAGGCGAUCAGAUACCGCCCUAGUUCUAACCAUAAACGAUGCCAGCCAGCGAUCCGGCUGUGUUCCUCAAAUGACACGCCGGGCAGCUUCCGGGAAACCAAAGCCUUUGGGUUCCGGGGGAAGUAUGGUUGCAAAGCUGAAACUUAAAGGAAUUGACGGAAGGGCMCCMCCAGGAAUGGAGCCUGCGGCUUAAUUUGACUCAACACGGGAAAACUCACCCAGUUAUGACACAGGAAGGAUUGACAGAUUAAGAGCUCUUUCUUGAUUCUGUGAUGGGUGGUGCAUGGCCGUUCUUAGUUGGUGGUUUGAAUUGUCAGGUUAAUUCCGAUAACGAACGAGACUCUAGCCUACUAAAUAGACGUUCCGAUCGACUCCGU
rnacentral:rRNA from 1 species